rnacentral:rRNA from 3 species
ACUGCGAGUGAAGCGGGAAAAGCUCAAAUUUAAAAUCUGGCGGUCUUUGACUGUCCGAGUUGUAAUCUAGAGAAGUGUUAUCCGCGCUGGACCGUGUACAAGUCUCCUGGAAUGGAGCGUCAUAGAGGGUGAGAAUCCCGUCUUUGACACGGACUGCCAGGGCUUUGUGAUGCGCUCUCAAAGAGUCGAGUUGUUUGGGAAUGCAGCUCAAAAUGGGUGGUAAAUUCCAUCUAAAGCUAAAUAUUGGCGAGAGACCGAUAGCGAACAAGUACCGUGAGGGAAAGAUGAAAAGAACUUUGGAAAGAGAGUUAAACAGUACGUGAAAUUGCUGAAAGGGAAACGCUUGAAGUCAGUCGCGUUGGCCGGGGAUCAACCUUGCUUUUGCUGGGCGUACUUUCCGGUCGACGGGUCAGCAUCAAUUUUGACCGGUGGAUAAAGGCUGAGGGAAUGUGGCUCCUUCGGGAGUGUUAUAGCCCUUGGUCGCAUACAUCGAUUGGGAUUGAGGAACUCAGCACGCCGAAAGGCCGGGUACUUGUACCACGUUCGUGCUUAGGAUGCUGGCAUAAUGGCUUUAAUCGACCCGUCUUGA